CCCUUAGAUGUUCUGGGCCGCACGCGCGCUACACUGACGAUGGCAACGAGUUUUUCCUUCGCCGAAAGGUGUGGGUAAUCUUUUGAAACAUCGUCGUGCUGGGGAUAGAUCAUUGCAAUUUUCGAUCUUGAACGAGGAAUUCCUAGUAAGCGCGAGUCAUCAGCUCGCGUUGAUUACGUCCCUGCCCUUUGUACACACCGCCCGUCGCUACUACCGAUUGAAUGGUUUAGUGAGGACUCCUGAUUGGCGCCGCCGCCCCGGCAACGGAGCAGCGGACUGCCGAAAAGUUGUUCAAACUUGAUCAUUUAGAGGAAGUAAAAGUCGUAACA
rnacentral:rRNA from 1 species